rnacentral:misc_RNA from 1 species
GAUGAAGAACGUAGCGAAAUGCGAUAAGUAAUGUGAAUUGCAGAAUUCAGUGAAUCAUCGAAUCUUUGAACGCACAUUGCGCCCGCCAGUAUUCUGGCGGGCAUGCCUGUCUGAGCGUCAUUUCAACCCUCAAGCAACUUCUGCUUUGUGUUGGGGAUCGGCCGUUAAACGCCGCCCCCGAAAUCUAUUGGCGAUCUCGCUGUAGCUUCCUAUGCGUAGUAGUAACAUCUCGCAUCUGGAGAGCGGCGCGGUCAUGCCGUAAAACACCCAACUUCUCAGGUUGACCUCAGAUCAGGUAGGAAUACCCGCUGAACUUAAGCAUAUCAAUAAGCGGAGGA